rnacentral:lncRNA from 1 species
AUUUAAUGCUCACAGUAGCUGUGUUGUAAGUUAUGGCAGGAUACAGUUUGUUUAAUACCCCUCCCCUCACACGCCUAUCAGUCGCGCUCGUCCAGUCAGCACAUUGCUAGAAACUAUCUUUGCAAACUUUCGGAUUGUGAACUGCCACACCCCCGCGACAAGUAUAAAAGGAACCCAGAACUCCCCCGUCUGUAUUGAUGAAAAGACGGGCGAUGAAAAGGAGGAAACCGUCAAAAAAGGUAGAAGAGCUUCAACGAGGUAAGUAAAGAUUAAUUUCCUACUGAGCAAGCAUGCCAGCCUGAACGUCAACAGCGUUGUUACUGUGAGCUCUGCUGAAUUCCUCAAUGUCCUGAUCGGAGAUAUCCUGCUUAGCUCUGAAGAGCUAGCUGUGGUGUAUUCCGAGUAUUUUCUGCAGCUGCCCUUAUUGUGACCUUACUACCCUGUGGACUGUCACAGUUUCACAGCAGGAAAAGAAAGAAAAACUCAGCCGCUGUCUGAAUCCAUUAAUCGGUUCAAGAGUCUCUCCUGCUGCAUUCCAGUGUCGGGGCAGAUAUACCCUUAUACACUCUCAUCGUCCCCAGUCUCACUCUCCAGCGUGCGGCCUGAUCCCAGGACGAGCGGCCCCUCUGCUCCCGGCUGUUGCACUGUUUCUGUUCCGUGUGAUUUCAGAAAGGAAGGGUCCCCGGAAGAAAGGGAAACUUGGUCCUCAGGGGCCCACAGCAGGUGCUGUUGGAGCCCCUGAGGACCAGGUCAAAGAAAACCUCAUCUGUCCAGAGCGCGCCUGUGUCAUCUCCCCAGAGGAAGAAGCAGAGACCAGAGACGGGUCCAGCACACCGAGUAUAUCCCAGGUGACAAAGCAGGAAGGCGAACAUCAGGAAGAAGAAGAAGAUAUUUCAGAACUAAAGGCUGGGGAGAUACACAGAUGGCCUUGUCUUAUUUUACCUACCCGUUAUAAAAAAAAUAAUUUCUUUUUAACUCCUAAUCCAAGUGAAUCUCUACAUUUGUAUUUGGGAGAAAAAUAUAUUAAUGUUAUUGAGCCAAAUUCAAAUAAAAUAGUUGAAUUUAUAUUAUGUUAUAAUUGGAAUAGCACUCAUUUGGAAUCAGCAAAACUAUUCCAGAAAGACCUGACCUCAGUAUUCCGAUCUGAAGCCAAUAUUCCUUCAGAAACAGUAGACAUAGCCGAGUAUGAAGAUGUAGAUGUAUAUGAAUAUAAAACUCGAAACAAAAUAAAGAUUAAAGCAUUAAACUUUGUUAAUGAGGCCAGUUAUACAUUAAUUUUAAAAAUGUUAAUUUCCAAAAAGGACAAAAAAGAUAUUUAUUUUAGGGUUAAAGAUUUUGUAAUGCGACUGAACCCUGAAAAUCUCUAUAUAGAACCAUGGGGUACAACAGAUGAAGGAAAAACCUGGCACUGGAAAUACAAAGACCUAAUUUAUGAUAGUCGUAAAAUUGCUUCUGGUAGAAACUUUAGUCAAGCCUUGAACGUGCUGGUCAGGGGGGAUUUCGAUAAAAGACAGGAUAGCUUUAGUAAUGUCAAUAUUCAUGAGGUUGUGGCUAUGCUUGCGGUCUUGAUUUCCGAAGCAAUUCGAAACCCCAGCACUUAUUACAUCAACUUGAUCAUGAUGAGAUGGAAU